GGGUGCAUAAUGUUGUCACAUCCUAACCCUUCCGACUCGACGAACAAGCGGUGGUGUUUGAGAUUGACAGGACACCGUCACUAGUGUCUGAAUGACCCAGGCAGAGUAUAAUCAAUGGUAGUAUGACAUGAACUAACAGUAUAUUAGAAUGUUGAGUGUUUAACUCCAGUCUGAGGAUUUGAGGAACUCUUCAAAGCGAAGUUACGUUAGCCGACGCUAUUUGUUGUCACAAGCUAGCAUCCCCUGUCAAGCUAGCUACUUGUAGGUAAGGUUAGCCGGUUAGCUGAUCAGUCUCUCAGCGGGACCUGCGUGGACAUUACUAGCGAACACAGUGUUGGACCAUAUUAUUGGCGAGACACUUUUGCCGUCCUAUGGUCUCACUCCGCUAGCUGCUUGUCUCAAAAUGUCCACGACUUCGUUGGAUAAAGAAUUACAGGAGCGACUGAGAGAAGCGUCUGCCAUCGGUGAUAUCGACGAAGUGCGGUCGCUGGUGGAGAGCGGGGUGAAUGUUAAUUCACAGAAUGAGAUCAACGGGUGGACAUGCCUGCACUGGGCUUGCAAGAGGAACCAUAAGCACAUCGUGUCCUACUUACUCGGUUGUGGAGCGGACAAAGAAAUCCUCACGGCUAAAGAGGAGCUCGCCUCUCAGCUUACAUCUAAACCAGAGAUCAAGAGACUCUUGGGAGUUGAGGUGGAAGAAGUGCCUGAGGUGAAGGAGCCUGAGUUACCAAUCAUCCCAAAUUAUCUGUCCAACCCGCCCUUCAUGUACUCCAGGAUGGACAAUAAGUCAGAGAUCCUCCAAACCCAGCCCCCCACACAGAACGGCUCUAGAGAUUACACUGAAGACACGCAGAGUGAUUCAGCCUCGCUGUCCUCCACCGAUGAGCUCCAGAAACCCCAGAGCAUGGUGUGCGACGGGCCCGCCCCUUUACCAAACCCCGUCGUCAAUCACAGCCAACCUCCAGCUGCUGAAUUCAUUCCUGUGCCUGAGCAAAACGGCGUGUCACCCAGCAUGGCCUCGUCCCACAGUCACACUGUUGUGAACCACACAGUGCCUAUUGACCUCUCAGUGGAGCCUCACCUGGUCAACCAUGCCGACUACCCUCACAUGGUGGCCCACAACGGUACUGUGAGUUCACCUCCACUGGCCUCACCACGCCCAAGCUUGACCGGCGGCGGCACACAGGUUCAGGCUCCGGUGGCCAGCGCGAACCCCACCAUGAACCGGCAACAGUCUAUUCCACAGCAGCUGAGCUACAGCCAGGCCAAUGGGCCCAUGCCAGCCUUUCAGCCUUUCUUUUUCACCAGCACCUUUCCUGUUAAUGUACAAGAGUUGGUUCUGAAGGUUCGAAUCCAGAACCCAAAUGCACGGGAGAACGACUUCAUUGAAGUAGAACUGGAUCGUCAGGAGCUCACCUAUCGUUCCCUCCUGAGAGUCUGCUGCCGCGAGUUGGACAUCAGUGCUGAACAUGUGGAGAAGAUCCGCAAGCUGCCAAACACCAUGUUAAGAAAGGACAAGGACGUGGCUCGGCUGCAGGACUUCCAGGAGCUGGAGGUUGUGCUGGAGAAAGCAGAAGGCCUGUCCCUAUUCUCUGGUACGGGGAGCCUGACAGACAGGCCCUGCUACAACAUGAAGGCCUCUCGCCUCACUUACUGAAGCAAACCCAGACCCAAAGGUCUCCCUGACGACGACGGGCUUCUGUAGCUUCCCUCGAGCAACCUCAGAUAGCCGCCCUGCCCAGCUCCUUUGUUCCAGCUUUGUUCAGCUUUGAUGUUUGACCAAUAUUUCAGCUGGGAUUUGUUUGUACAACUGUAGCUAUUGUCCUCCUCCUGUCCACUUCUGGGCCUGCUGCUGCUGCUGCUUAUGUGUACCCGAAUCAGUUCCAAGUGAAAGCUGAUGCAUGGUAUCCUCGAAUAUGUGCAACGUAUUUGACCCUCUUUUUUCCUCUUUAUCAUGCCCUCCCACUGCACUUCGUGCCAAGGAGUAAGUGGGUCAACAGAGGGGGACGUUGGCUUGUCUUCCUAACGGGCUGGAUUCUGCGAUCGCCUUAUAAGGACAUGUUUUUAUUGUGGAAAACUGGCCAAGAGGACAUCAGGAAGGAUUAACAUGAGAUCAUCAUCAGACCACCAUGCCGGAUAAGUUGCAGCACAGUGGACCACACAGCAACUUUGGUUUCUGACAGAAUGAGCUACAGAGUCAUAACCGAUAGUCUUGGUUGUGCACACAUGCUCUUUGUAUUAACCAUAGUGUCUUCUCACAGACGAUAUCUGUUAUUGGCCAAAUGAAAGCAAAGUUUAUCUCACUUAAUUAGGAGUAGUCCAUUUAUUGGCCUCAAAUAAACAUAUAUUCUCAUCUGCAUCCUCUCAGAGAAGAUUUAAAGAAAACGUAUUUCCUGUUUUUGAAAUAAUUCCACUGUGGUGAAGGAAUAACACAGGAGCUAUGCUUUCUUUUUUUUUUUCUUUUGUUUUGUGAACAUAACACUACAUGUUCACAAAAAAAAAGAAAGCUAUGCUUUCUUUUUUUUUUCUUUUUGUUAUGUUCCCUCUCUACUUCUUUAUGUUCAGCAGCCAGAAUCAUACUUCAGUUUUCAGAGCAGAGCCACAUCUUGCAUUCUGGUGGCAAAGCAAAUGUGUAUGAGGUUUCAACUUAAAAUCUUUAAAUCCUGCCCCGUAUUAAAUAUUUUUCAUUGCUGUCAAUUUGUUUAGUGUCAAUUUAGAAUUGAGACCAAAAAAUAAAAAAGAAAGAAAGAAACCGGACUAGCCAGCAAAGACAAUAAUAUCACUAACAAACCUAUCACUGCUUUAGAGGAGAAUGUAGCUUUGUUUUCAUUUUCAUUUUCUCACAAGUGCUAAAGGAAAACAUGCAGAUUUUUGUUUUCUUUUAGAACUUGGCCAUGAUGCUUUUUGUUCAUGUUGAGGACUACGCAUAACAUCAAUAUCUAUCAUACGGCUACAGUUUUUCUGUUCAAAGCCACUCUGGUCCUUUUUUUGAAUCAUUAUUUCAGAACUAACAUUUGCCUUUGACACUUUUUCUAGCUUGACAAUUUAAAAAGGUCACUUUGAAUCUGACUUGAAGAAUAUCUUGAACACUGAGAAAACACAUAUUUACUCUAAAGACAUACAGUUGUGUUAGAUAGCGGAUUUGUUUACGCUGCCUAUGUUAACCUGUUACUGGGGCUCCUGUUUAAAGUUUGGUAAAUGGGCACUAAACAUGUCUUACAAUCAGCGUCUUACCUUGUGGUGAGAGUUUAAUUCUCUGAACAUACUUGAGCCUCUAACUCUUUGUUUUAAUUUGGGUUUUAGGUAGUGUUUGUGUAUAUAUAUAUAUUUUUUGUUACCAGCUAGGCCUGUUUUUUUUUGUUUGUUUGUUUGUUUGUUUUGUGUCAAAAAAAAUCUGCAGUUCUGCAGGAGUUCAUCACCGAAAGACCCGAAAUGCUUUUGUUGAAGUGCAAUGGGAAGGAAGAGGAACUUGUUUCAGUAAGAGGAGCGGGACGACGUUGAGAGAAGUCAUGCUAUGUGUGAGAAGCUGGAGUUUGAAAUAACAAUGCAGACUUCUUAAUUGAAACGGUGUAUGCUAAAUGAAGGGGGUUUUUUUUGUUUGUUUGUUUUUUAAGAAAAUUAGAUUUUAAGAAAAGGGGAUGCCUAUGUUGUGCUUGUUGGUUGCACAUUAUUUCAAAAAACAGAAUACAGUUGGAAUUAACCUAUGCAUCCAGAGUGAUAUUUUUAUAUACAGUAGGACCUGUAUACAUGUACAAAUAAUCUAAUAAAUAGGCACUGUUAAAAUUGUGA